rnacentral:misc_RNA from 1 species
CUGAGUUCUUGCCCUUCGGGGUAGAUCUCUCACCCUAUGUUUUUUUACUCUUGUUGCUUUGGCGGGACGCUCAGUCUGACUGACUACUGGCUUCGGCUAGUAAGUGCCCGCCAGAGGACCCCAUAUUCUAUGUAUAUCUGUCGUCUGAGUACUAUAUAAUAAGUUA